rnacentral:ncRNA from 1 species
GGGUUCUAUGAAAGAAGAGAUGGUUAGUAGUCCCCAGGACAAAAGUGCAAGAAGCCAUUGGGCCUUAUAACAUGUACAGGGUUAAGGCAUUGCCACCUACUUUGUGGUAUCUAACCAGUUUUUAUU